CCUAGAGGGGGACAACAGUUGGAAACGACUGCUAAUACCGCAUACGAUCUAAUCUCGGCAUCGAGGAUAGAUGAAAGGUGGCCUCUACAUGUAAGCUAUCACUGAAGGAGGGGAUUGCGUCUGAUUAGCUAGUUGGAGGGGUAACGGCCCACCAAAGCGAUGAUCAGUAGCCGGUCUGAGAGGAUGAACGGCCACAUUGGGACUGAGACACGGCCCAG
rnacentral:rRNA from 1 species